AUGGGGCUGGGGCUGCACUGGGUUUUCUUUGUUGCUCUUUUAAAAGGUGUCCACUGUAAGGGCAGCUGGUUGAGUCUGGUGGAGGAUUAGUGAAGCCUGCAGGGUCACUGAAACUCUCCUGUGUGGCCUCUGGAUUCACCUUCACUGACUAUAACAUGUACUGGGUCCGCCAGGCUCCAGGGAAGGGGCUGGAGUGGUUUGCUUAUGUAACCACUGAAAGUAACAAUUAUGCAACCUCUUAUGCUGAUUCGGUGAAAGGCAGAUUCAAAAUCUCCAGAGAUGAUUCCCGAAGAAAUGGCCGACCUGCAAAUGAACAACCUGAGAACUGAUGACACGGCCACUUAUUACUGUACAAGCAACACACUGAGGAGUCUUCAGUGUGAGCCCAGACAAAAACCUCCCUGGCAGAUACCCAUGACCAGCAGGGGGCGCUCAGCAUUCAUAAAGCCCAGGUUCAGACAUAACGGAUUGUUUUCUGUGUUAUGA